GCCAGCGAUACCCGCCCUCGGGAAGCUGGGGCAGGGAGACCCAGCGUCCCAGGCCAAUCUGGGCUACCCGCUCUCGGUAACCCAAAGUUAGUAACUCUAAAGCUACUCCUGGAAAUUGAGCGUAAUGUCAGUGAGGUUUCACAGCAAAAGAGACUGAGUAAUUUUAAGGUAAAAAUUAAAGUCCUUGCCACAAGUCCACACGGGUGUGGCGCACCUUAAGGACAAGAGCGCUGGAGAACAGGAAGCUACGACUCCCAUUCUCAGUGGGCCGGGAAGGAAUGUCGGCUCCUCCGACCUCUGGUCCCGCAAACGCCCAAGUUUCAGCAGCGGGAAGGGGGAGGGGAGUGGCCGGAACAAAUCCAGGGAACAAUCGCGUCCCUACAACACCCCACUGCCCGACCGCCAGGGACACGCCGCGGUUGUCCCUCAGUGAGGGAGGCGGCCUGAGGCGCGACGCUAGUCCCGCGCGCGCUCCCUGCUCCGGGAACAAAGUUUAGAAAGAGGGAGAAAGUUUUCCAAGAAGGCGCCCCGGCGGUCGACCCGCUUCCCGAGCGUCGGGCUCCGCCCGCCCAGGCCCAGGCUGCUCGGGGAUGCCGCCCUAGCCCGACGCUCUAGGGCGCGGCAGCCGAGAGUCCGAGGCGGACACCCGGGACCCCAGCCUGAGGAGCCCCGCGCCCCACCAGGGGGCCCCGCGCGCCCCGAGGGGAGGUACGAAGAGUUACCUGCGGCGAACUGGGCGAGCGCGGGACGACUCCUGAGGCGCCAAGCCGACGGCCGCCGCUUUGUCUCCCGCCCGUCCGGCUCCCAGGAGGAAAUGGGCCGCCCUGCGCCCCCGCCCCCGGCCCGCCCCGCGCCGCGCCCGCCCUUCCCGGCACCUCCCUCCGCGCGCUCUUCCCGGCGCCUCCCGCGGCCUCCACACCGCCGGUCCCGGCCUGGCGCAGCCGGCGCUUUCUAGGGAGAGCCUCCCACCCGGAAGGUAGCCUGGCAACUCCAGGCCGGGACCCCCAGAAGUCCUUUUGGUUUGGCCUCCAGGCACGCAGACCGGGACCCACGACGGGAAGGAGGGGCGGAGACUCAGGGAACAGCCCGCGGCGGAGACGGGCGGGCGGAGGGCAGUGGCCGGAAGGCAGAGGCAAACUCAUCUCGGAGAGUUUCUGAACUUGUGUGGAAAUCAGGAUGUGUGGGAAUUGAAUUUACUCAAGUGCCAACUUACCUUAAACUCCUAAUCCUCCAGCACACCCCGCAACUGCUGCGAUUAUAGGUCUGCACCAUUAUACCCGGUCUUUUAGGGCCUCUUAAAAAGAGGGAGCAAAUGAGAGCGAUGGCCCCGUGGGUGAAGUUGUUUGCCACUGUAUCAACAAUGCUAGCCUGACAACCUGAGUUGUGGAAAGACAAAAUGAAGGCCACAGAGAUGUCCUCUGACUUCCACACUGGUGCAGAUGGCAAAUCCACCCACCUACGUGUCACACACACAUAACAACAACAAUAAUAAUAAUAGGCAUAUCCACCCACAUACAUAUCACAAUAAUAAUAAAUAAAUUUUAAUUUUAAGAGAGUUGGAGAUG
rnacentral:lncRNA from 1 species